AUCACAAGCCAUUGGGCCAGUCAUAAAUACAAAGGUUAGGGUAAACACCUUUAAAUCCCUCCUGGCCAGAGGAAAAACCCUUUCACCUGUAAAGGGUUCAGAAGCUAAGCUAACCUCGCUGGCACCUGACCAAAAUGACCAAUGAGGAGACAAGAUACUUUCAAAGCUGGAG